UUUUGAGGUGUUCUGUAGCCCUAGUUCUUUUCUUACUGCAAUGCUAGGCAUGCACCCAGGUGCUAAAUUCCUAUAUGUUCUGGACUGGGCUGGUUCAGUCAUACAGUUUGGAAUCAGUCUGCAGCCAGCUCUCACACUGAGAGGACCUCUGUUUCACGAGCUGGGGUGACUCCGGGUAGCCACACCUGUUAUCCCUUUAAGUGUCAGCAAGUUUUGCCAGCAGCUAUUCACACAUACCUUCAUGACUAAUGUCGAUCCUGAAAUGGAAUUCCAAUGGAACUGGCUGAAACUUGAGUCGAUGUUUUGUGACUUCUGCCAUACUCUUGGCAAAUUUGCAGUCGGGAGACCAGUUCCACAGUUUUCUGGUACCAAUGAAUAUGGACUUGAAAUCUCUCAGGGAAGCACAUGGAGAUUGGCCUUAAAAAUAAAUGAUGUCAUUAUCCUGAGUGAGUUUGUCUACGUUCCUUCGAGCAGUGUUCACACUUUGUGUCAUUCACACAUUGAGUUGAUGGCCUGAAAGUGAAAUGGAGUAUUAAAAAGAUGUAAGGGACCCUGGCAAGUAUUUGUGCCGAUGUGGACUAUGAUGGAAUAGGGCUGUCAUGAUCAUGCUUCCCAUUCUUGAUCUGGUGGAUCUAGAGUCCAGUGAACUAGUUAUCAAGGAGAAAGAAAAGCUUAUAAAACACUGUAAAGGGUGGGUGCUGCAACUCUAAUCUUCUGAGGAAAAGUCGUCCAGUCGAAUUUGGCCUUCUGGUUCUUGGGGGAACAGAUCCUUCCUCUUUACCAUCUCCUUCCUCACUUUGAUUUCGUUGGUGCCGUUCAACGCUUCUACUGCUGACGUGGAUGGGAGGAUUAGGAAAAGAGCCUUAUACUUUGAUUUUGCCAAGUAUUGCACAGCUUUC